GACGAACGCUGGCGGCGUGCUUAACACAUGCAAGUCGAACGGAAAGUCCCUGCUUUUGUGGGGUUCUCGAGUGGCGAACGGGUGAGUAACACGUGAGUAACCUUCCCUUGACUUUGGGAUAACUUCAGGAAACUGGGGCUAAUACCGGAUAGGAGCUCCUGCUGCAUGGUGGUGGUUGGAAAGUUUCGGCGGUUGGGGAUGGACUCGCGGCUUAUCAGCUUGUUGGUGGGGUAGUGGCUUACCAAGGCUUUGACGGGUAGCCGGCCUGAGAGGGUGACCGGCCACAGUGGGACUGAGAGACGGCCCAGACUCCUACGGGAGGCAGCAGUGGGGAAUAUUGCACAAUGGGCGGAAGCCUGAUGCAGAAACGCCGCGUGCGGGAUGACGGCCUUCGGGUUGUAAACCGCUUUCGCCUGUGACGAAGCGUGAGUGACGGUAAUGGGUAAAGAAGCACCGGCUAACUACGUG
rnacentral:rRNA from 1 species